GACGAACGCUGGCGGCGUGCUUAACACAUGCCAGUCGAACGGAAAGGCCCUGCUUGCAGGGUACUCGAGUGGCGAACGGGUGAGUAACACGUGGGUGAUCUGCCCUGCACUUCGGGAUAAGCCUGGGAAACUGGGUCUAAUACCGGAUAGGAGCCAUUUUUAGUGUGAUGGUUGGAAAGUUUUUUCGGUGUAGGAUGAGCUCGCGGCCUAUCAGCUUGUUGGUGGGGUAAUGGCCUACCAAGGCGGCGACGGGUAGCCGGCCUGAGAGGGUGGACGGCCACAUUGGGACUGAGAUACGGCCCAGACUCCUACGGGAGGCAGCAGUGGGGAAUAUUGCACAAUGGGCGCAAGCCUGAUGCAGCGACGCCGCGUGGGGGAUGACGGCCUUCGGGUUGUAAACUCCUUUCGCUAGGGACGAAGCUUUUUGUGACGGUACCUAGAUAAGAAGCACCGGCUAACUACGG
rnacentral:rRNA from 1 species